rnacentral:rRNA from 1 species
GACGAACCGUGCGAACGUUGUUCGGAAUCACUGGGCUUAAAGGGCGCGUAGGCGGGUCUGCAAGUCGGAGGUGAAAGCCCGCAGCUCAGCUGCGGAAGUGCCCCCGAUACUGUGGGUCUCGAGGGAGGUAGGGGCGUGCGGAACUUCCGGUGGAGCGGUGAAAUGCGUAGAUAUCGGAAGGAACACCGGUGGCGAAAGCGGCGCGCUGGACCUCUUCUGACGCUGAGGCGCGAAAGCCAGGGGAGCAAACGGG